AAUCAACGCUGGCGGCGUGCCUCAGACAUGCAAGUCGAACGAUUAAGACUUCCUUCGGGAAGUGCAUAAAGUGGCGCACGGGUGAGUAACACGUAAGUAAUCUACCCUCGAGUGGGGAAUAACGUUCGGAAACGAACGCUAAUACCGCAUAAUGCAGCGGCAUCGCAAGCUGACAGUUGUUAAAGGAGUAAUUCGCUUGAGGAGGAGCUUGCGGCAGAUUAGCUAGUUGGUAAGGUAAAGGCUUACCAAGGCUACGAUCUGUAUCCGGUCUAAGAGGACGGUCGGACACACUGACACUGAAUAACGGGUCAGACUCCUACGGGAGGCAGCAGUCGGGAAUUUUGGGCAAUGGGGGAAACCCUGACCCAGCAACGCCGCGUGAAGGAUGAAGUAUUUCGGUAUGUAAACUUCGAAAGAAUGGGAAGAAUAAAUGACGGUACCAUUUAUAAGCUCCGGCUAACUACGUGCCAGCAGCCGCCGUAAUAC
rnacentral:rRNA from 1 species